rnacentral:tRNA from 1 species
GGCAACUUGGCCGAGCGGUCUAAGGCGCCACGUUAAGGAGAUAUCCUUAAUCACAUUAUCUUGAUCAUCUUGAUCUUGAUGAGUUCCGUGGUCCGAAAGGGCGUGAGUUCGAAUCUCACAGUUGUCA